rnacentral:rRNA from 1 species
AUUCGAAGCAACGCGAAGAACCUUACCAGGUCUUGACAUCCUCUGCUACUCCUAGAGAUAGGAGGUUCCCCUUCGGGGGACAGAGUGACAGGUGGUGCAUGGUUGUCGUCAGCUCGUGUCGUGAGAUGUUGGGUUAAGUCCCGCAACGAGCGCAACCCUUGAUCUUAGUUGCCAGCAUUCAGUUGGGCACUCUAAGGUGACUGCCGGUGACAAACCGGAGGAAGGUGGGGAUGACGUCAAAUCAUCAUGCCCCUUAUGACCUGGGCUACACACGUGCUACAAUGGACGGAACAAAGGGCAGCAAGACCGCGAGGUUUAGCUAAUCCCAUAAAUCCGUUCUCAGUUCGGAUUGCAGGCUGCAACUCGCCUGCAUGAAGCCGGAAUCGCUAGUAAUCGCGGAUCAGCAUGCCGCGGUGAAUACGUUCCCGGGCCUUGUACACACCGCCCGUCACACCACGAGAGUUUGUAACACCCAAAGUCGGUGGGGUAACCUUUAUGGAGCCAGCCGCCUAAGGUGGGACAGA